CUAAACUUAUGUAUGUAUUGUGCUUCGAACGAACAUCUAAUUUCCGAAUGUCCUCUACUGAAACAUUCAAAAGGUGGUAAGCUUCAUUCAUCUACCUCUAUAUUGAACCUUUUUCAAAAAAGAAAAGCAUCUACUUAUUUUUCUAUAUCUCUCAUAUUACAGUGGGAUACAAAAAGAAUCGUGACUGAGGCCAUCAUUGAUUCUGGUGCUAAUGGAACUUUUCUUGAUUUUUCUUUUGUUUCAAAAAAU